rnacentral:lncRNA from 12 species
CCUUUGUAGACAACACACGUCUCUUCCUAGAGGAAGAUGCCCCAACCAGGGCCUGAGCCCGCUGGCUUCCCCUCCGAGCUUGCGCUUCUUGGCCGCCUUUUUGAUGUUCUGGAGUCUUUCUGAACGUGGGAUAGAUACAAACGUGCAAGAGGAAGUCCCCUCUCAACAGAAUAAAGGGGAGCGGGGAAGGGACAAUCGGUUUAAAAAUGAGAAGACUUUGACAUGACGUUAGUCAUUGUUUUGUCUUUAAGGAGGAAAUCCUCUAAGCACAAGGCAGCUACGUCUGCAGCGUCUCCGUGUGGCCGAAAAGAAGGCUGCCCCCCCCCCCCCCCAUUUCUAACUCGUCUAUCUGCACGAGGAUCUGAAACUUGGUAUGGAGAGUUUUACCAAUUUAGGCAAAUGCUUGGAAAUCACAGUCUCAUCUUUCAUAGAACAACUCUAUCCAAUCUGUGGCCGUGGAACUCGUUUUGGUCCUACCCUGUGAUAGAUGUGAGGAUACCCAAGGGUGACAAAAUUUCUCCCAGCAUCUCAGGCUCUCUGGGACCUCGUGUGGCUGCUGAGGACAGUCACGGGGAUGGCUGA